rnacentral:lncRNA from 1 species
UGAGUAACCGCCAUAUCUGCCAAAAUGGAAAAACAAUUAUUACACUACCCAAUUUUGUAAUUAAUACUUUUGACAUUUUUUAAAUUCAUGAAUAAACAAUGAUAUUAUAGAAAGAAAGUUUCAUCCCACCGACCUAAAAAAAAAACAUUAUAAAUAUGUGAUAUAAACCUUAGCCGUCUUCCAUCAAAACCUGUUUUCUCUUCAUUUUGCUUUAUUGUUUUCCUGUGUUCUUUGCGAGCCUCUCAAUCAUUUCCAUGGCGGCGAACUUCAAGUCCUCUUUUUCUCUUAACUCCAACUCAAUCUCGUCCCAUCCUAAUUAUCAUGUUAAUGGUGUUGACAACAACAUGAAUUGCUUCUUCAACUCAGGCAGCCAAAGCAGCCUUCUGAGAUCCAAUGUUAAUUACCAUGUUAACCAAAGGAAUAUCAUGGCGAAUUCCCGGUUCAAUUUUACCAAUUCCUCAACCAGGUUUACCCAAAAUCCUAUCCUUUUCCCGAAAAACAAUCUCGGUGUUGGCCAAACUGGGAUAAUCAAUCAAAUGAUGGGGCAGGAUAUGGGGAGAAUCUUUGAUUCCUACCCAACAAGGGUCCAUAUUCAAAAUUACAUUGAUCGUGUCCCUCUCCAAAACCAACCAGACAUUGCUGAGGUCUUUGUAACUGAAGUUGUGCGGAAAAGUUUUCUCACUUCAAAUCCUGCUGAAUUGCAGCUUUCUGUACCAUCUUUCAAUAACUUGAUCGGGUAUCAACAACCCCUAGGAGCUUACUCCAAUAUCGAAAACCAGCUGACCGGUAUCACCAUGCCAAACCCAAUGAUGCUUGCUAGAAACGUUAAUAGUUUUCCUGUUACUCAUCAUUAUCCUCACAACUUCUCACCAAAUUCAUCCCCCUUUAAUUAUCCAAAUGAUAGGGACCUUUUCAGGAUGAAAAAUAAAAUUUUGAUUGCUCAAUCAUUGAGCAAUGGUGUAUUUGGUAACAACAACAACAUUCUAAAUGCUCAACCAUUGAAGAUCUUGCCAACUUUAUCACGCAUGAGUGCAAACUCUAUCAGAGAUGGUUCCCAACAAACAAGAGUUCCGAACAACCCAGAUGGAGAUCAUCAUCAAUCUAAAAGUGAUGUUGAUGAGAGUUAUGAUGGGGUGACUCAUAGCCUCCCUUGCAACAAGUAUGGUCCAUACACAUGCCCUAAGUGUAAGGAAGUGUUCAAUACAUCGCUGCUUUUUGCGACUCAUGUUUUAAGAGCUCACUAUAAAUAUGAAACUAGUGAGGAGAGGCAAAUGAGAAAGGCUGCAAAGAAUAGGAACAAGAAGCCUCGAAGACUUCACAUUAUUAACACUCCUAAUGGACUUACUGUCGCGCCAAAGAAAUUCAAGGCAACAUGGAUGAACUAUUUUGAUGUCAGAACCCCUGGUGGUGGUGGUCAAGCUUUUGAGAAUACAGUUGGUGUGAAGAUUAAAGAAGAUAUUAUCAGCCCGAAUGAGAACGCUUCUCCAAUUGUUG